rnacentral:misc_RNA from 1 species
CGAGCGUGCUCGGUAACGCAGCUAGCUCUCCCUCGAUGCACGAUUAGAGCUCGUUCCUCCCACAAUACGCGCUGCUGCGGCUUGUCCAAGGAGAUACGCCACGCGACAAGCGGCAGUCAUGAAAGCUUUCUUUGCCAUCGCCUUGCUGUCCGCAGCUUCCCUGACGGACGCAUUUGGGACCUUAACGAGGAUCGACAGUUCCCUCAAUGACAUAUCUACUUCGGGUGGUGGCACACUUCAGGGUGGCAGUUUCAUCAGUGACGCUCCUGUGAACACCAUUGUACGCAGCGAGGAGAAUGGCGCCCCGAUGGGCGGAGGUUUGCGGGGCGGGCUUGCCUUCAGUAGUUUUGGACCACAUCCCAUACGCACGCACACGUUGACCCGAGUAAGCGGUAACGCACUUGGAGGAGUCACCCGUACCACCCACACAACUUCCGUCGCUGGUGGCGGCGGCGUUCCGGGUGGUCCGACCGGACUCCCCAGCCCUACACUGCGGACAACGGAGACUACAUUCGAGUCGACCCUGGGCCCACAGCGAAGUGGAAGCUUCUUAUUUACCUGGGGAGGCCCUAUCGGGGCCCCCAGCUCGGGUUUCACCACUGCGACUGCUUUCCACGGCAACUGGGUACCAAACGGUGGAUUUAGCUAUGGCUUCAACGGUGGCUACCCUACCGGUGGUUUCGACUAUUUCUACAAUAGUUACUAUCCCAGUGUUGGCUAUAGCUACGCGGGACACCAGAACGGCGGCUACGGCUCUGGCUAUGGACUCGGAAGCAGCAACUACUACGUGUAUCCAGGUUUCAGCAGCUACGCGUAUGGAGGUUAGCCUCCACUCCUAGUAGGUGGCAAAAUCCGGAUUUUGCCAUAGCCGUACACCGUCCACAGCUAAGUGUAAAGCCACAAAUACAUUUUGAGAAGAGUGCAAGGAGUGUUCGAUGGACUUAAGAAGUCACCGAGCUUAUUCCUUAGAUUUUAAAUGAAAUUAAAAUAAUGUGAAUUUAAAGUUUCCAAA